rnacentral:rRNA from 1 species
UACGGAGGGCGCGAGCGUUACCCGGAUUUACUGGGCGUAAAGGGCGUGUAGGCGGUCUGGGGCGUCCCAUGUGAAAGGCCACGGCUCAACUGUGGAGGAGCGUGGGAUACGCUCAGGCUAGACGGUGGGAGAGGGUGGUGGAAUUCCAGGAGUAGCGGUGAAAUGCGCAGAUACCGGGAGGAACGCCGAUGGCGAAGGCAGCCACCUGGCUCACUGGUGACGCUGAGGCGAGAAAGCGUGGGGAGCAAACCGG